rnacentral:ncRNA from 14 species
AAUGUGGCCGAGUGGUUAAGGCGAUGGAUUGCUAUUAAGAGUUGUGCAGCAAUUAUCCAUUGCACUUUGUGCGCGUAGGUUCGAAUCCUACCAUUG